AGGUGUUGAGCUCGAGGCACUUGA
rnacentral:siRNA from 1 species